CUGCUUCAAACGUAUUUUUGACAGACAAAAUGCAGAAAGACUUCCGUCAGAGGGCGAAGCGAUCAGGACUCUUUUCGUCUAGAAACUAGAAGUACUUGAGGUGACAAAUGAUUACUGACCAAGACGAAUCAUUUCAUUGGCUAUUAGUCCUCACAUUGUCAAUGGCAUUCAUGACACCCGGAGAGAGCAUUAAAAGUUUCUACAAAUGUUGUAAAAAGCAGGUGGGAAUUUCAACUCUAUCCCCAGACGGCCAUCAGCAAUCUGUUUCCAACUUGAGACCCCAACUAGUGGACCCAUACUCCUUUUUUCUUUUAAUUAAAGUGAAGUGUUUAUAAUAAGGCCAUUCCGAAUUUUGAGCCUAAACUUUUUAGUUGUUGGCCUGCGUGGUGACCUGGCCUAUAACCACAUCAAUCAUAAUGUUCUUCAAAAAAGUGGAAGAAAUGAAGAAAACCAGAAAAUGAUCAGUUUACCCUUGAUACAUAUUGAAUUCAUAUGAAUGAUAGGUGUGAAUUCCGUGUUUUUUGGUCUUUUGAUUAUGAAAUGCAUUUGAAAAAGCCCAUUGAA